rnacentral:rRNA from 1 species
AACGAACGCUGGCGGCAGGCUUAAUACAUGCAAGUCGAACGGGCACUUCGGUGUCAGUGGCAGACGGGUGAGUAACGCGUGGGAACAUACCUCUUGGUUCGGAACAACACAGGGAAACUUGUGCUAAUACCGGAUAAGCCCUUACGGGGAAAGAUUUAUCGCCGAGAGAUUGGCCCGCGUCUGAUUAGCUAGUUGGUGUGGUAAAAGCGCACCAAGGCGACGAUCAGUAGCUGGUCNGAGAGGAUGAUCAGCCACAUUGGGACUGAGACACGGCCCAAACUCCUACGGGAGGCAGCAGUGGGGAAUAUUGGACAAUGGGCGCAAGCCUGAUCCAGCCAUGCCGCGUGAGUGAUGAAGGCCCUAGGGUUGUAAAGCUCUUUUGUACGGGAAGAUAAUGACGGUACCGUAAGAAUAAG